ACUCCUACGGGAGGCAGCAGCUAAGAAUCUUCCGCAAUGGGCGAAAGCCUGACGGAGCGACGCCGCGUGGGUGAAGAAGGCGGAAACGUUGUAAAGCCCUUUUCUGCGUGAGGAAUAAGCGCGAGAGGAAAUGCUCGCGUGAUGACGGUAGCGCAGGAAUAAGCCCCGGCUAAUUACGUGCCAGCAGCCGCGGUAACACGUAUGGGGCGAGCGUUGUUCGGAAUUAUUGGGCGUAAAGGGCGCGUAGGCGGUCCAGCAAGCUUGGUGUGUAAUCCCACAGCUCAACUGUGGAGCCGCGCUGAGAACUGUUGGACUUGAGUCUUGGAGGGGAAGCUGGAAUUCCUGGUGUAGGGGUGAAAUCUGUAGAUAUCAGGAAGAACAUCAGUGGCGAAGGCGAGCUUCUGGCCAAAGACUGACGCUGAGGCGCGAAAGCGUGGGGAGCGAACAGGAUUAGAAACCCGGGUAGUCC
rnacentral:rRNA from 1 species